GUUGUCGUGAUAAUGAGUGAGUCUCACUAGACCUAAUGGUUUUAUAAGCGUCUGGCAUUUCCCCUGCUGGCACUCACUCUGUCCUGAAGGGCCUGCUUCUCCUUUGCCUUCCAUCAGGAUUAAAUCUAAUCGACAACGUGAUGGGACUUUGUGGUGGUGAUUAAUCCCCUCAUAUAAAAGACCUCUGAGUGCUGCUUUGUCUCCUUCUGCCACGUGAGGAUACGGUGAGAAGAGGCUUUUUAUGAAUGAGGAAGCAGGACCUCACCAGACAGUGUGUCUACCAGUCCCUUGGUCCUGGAGUUCCCAGCUUCCAAAACUGUGAGAAAUAAAUUUCAGUUGUUCAUAAGCUAUGCAUUUUUAUGGUAUUUUGUUAUAACAGCCAGAGCAGAUGAAGACAGACACAUACAAUAUCCUGAGAUCAUUCUUCCAGUCUUCAACAGAUUCUUCCCCUUCUCUUGUCUACAACACUCAAUCUGUCACCAAAUCCUGCUAUUUUUUACCUAUUAAGUAUCUGCCAACAAGUGCCCCCUUCCUUACUCUUUCUGGGCAGCUGUGCUAGUCCAGGCUGUAUCACCUCUGGGUAGAUGCUUGCUGCAGCCUCUUAAUUGACCACCAGUUUCUGUCCUCUUUGGUCCGUCUCAUACAGUUCAGGUUUCUUUACAUCACCAAGUUAUUUUUCUAAAUUUCCAAACACUCCAUAGCUUAAAAACUGUCAUUGUUUCCCGUCAUUGAGGUGCUAAAGCCCUAGUUCCAUUGCAGCCACAUAUAAUGUUUUUUUCUUCUUUAAACCCAUGUUUCUAUCUUUUCUGCCAGCCUGAUCCCUGAUCCUUAACAUCCCAGCCACGCCGUACAUCUCUACUCACGUGAUCUUUUGGACUUCCUCUUCUGAUUCCUACUUUUCCUCCAUCCCAGCUAGUCUGGCAAAUACCUUCAUCUUCAAGAUGCACUUCAUUCUCUAUGCUCGCUUGAUAGCAUUGCAUUCUCAUUUGUUACAUUUUGCUCUCAGUACAUGUAAGUUUAGAGAUGUAUUGUUUUUGUGUUUGCUUUUUUUGGCUGUGUGUUCCCAUUACUUUUUGCUUUGUGGAACCCAAAUAUAGUUGAUCCUCAUUAUUCAGAUUCCACAUUUGAAAAUGUGUCCUGCAUACUAAGAUUUAUUUGAAACCCCAAAAUCAGUACUCAUGCACUUUCAUAGUUAUUUGUGGAAUGGCAAACAAUUUGAGUUGUGGGAUAUGCAUGUUCUCAGCUGGGAUCACACAAAGCAACAGACACUUUGCCUUCUUGCUUCAGCUCUCAUACUAUAGAUGUCCUUUUUGUGCUCUGUAUUAGCCUGUUUUCACACUGCCGAUAGACAUACCUGAGACUGGG
rnacentral:lncRNA from 10 species